rnacentral:rRNA from 1 species
AGUGAACGCUGGCGGUAGGCCUAACACAUGCAAGUCGAACGGCAGCACAGUAAGAGCUUGCUCUUACGGGUGGCGAGUGGCGGACGGGUGAGGAAUACAUCGGAAUCUACUUUUUCGUGGGGGAUAACGUAGGGAAACUUACGCUAAUACCGCAUACGACCUACGGGUGAAAGCAGGGGAUCUUCGGACCUUGCGCGAAUGAAUGAGCCGAUGUCGGAUUAGCUAGUUGGCGGGGUAAAGGCCCACCAAGGCGACGAUCCGUAGCUGGUCUGCGAGGAUGAUCAGCCACACUGGAACUGGGACACGGUCCAGACUCCUACGGGAGGCAGCAGUGGGGAAUAUUGGACAAUGGGCGCAAGCCUGAUCCAGCCAUACCGCGUGGGUGAAGAAGGCCUUCGGGUUGUAAAGCCCUUUUGUUGGGAAAGAAAAGCAGCAGGUUAAUACCCCGCUGUUCUGACGGUACCCAAAGAAUAAGCACCGGCUAACUUCGUG